GGUUGUGGCCCCGCUUACCUUAACUUCUGACGAGCGCCGUGAGCGCAGGCUCGGGCUCCGGCCCCCGGCCCGGCUCGGCUCGGCAGCCCGGCCGGGUCCCCUCGGCGCGGGCUGGGCACCGACCCUCAGCAUCAGCCGAGACGGCGGGCGGGAGGGAGACCCCGAGGCCCGGACGCCGCGGUGCAGAGCGUGGCCGCCUAGCUGCUCCGGCACGGCUCGCCCAGGGCGGACUGGGGCGGCUCGGACCCCCCCUCCCACCCACCCCACCCACCCACCCUCCCCCACACCCCCGCCCCCUGCCCUUCCCGAGGGCAGCAGCCGCGGCCCGGAGAUAAGCGCUAGCGCGGCGCAGGGCUCUGCCUGGGCUAGUGGCACCGACUUGGGCGUCACUGAAGUCCAGGAAAAUUAUGCUAAUGAGGACAAACGGCUCUCACAAAGGGGCUCUCUUGCCGGGCUCUAUUUCUUAGGAAUCCGUUUAGGAAACCACCUUACCCUGUGCCCUGGACAUUUCCAGUUGCGGGGCGAAGGGAAGACGGAACCAGAAGAGAGUUCCCCAGACUUUGGGCAGUUUACCUCACCUCACCUGCCACCCCCAAUCCAAGAACCUCAAAGCCAAUCUCUGGGGAGCUGGGAUAGGGCCUCCUUUCUCGGGAGACCGCCCCAAGAGCCAACUGGGGUGUCUUUGGUUAUAUUUUUAAAGUAAAAACCCUUGAAAUCCUGGCGGCUGGGAGGGAAGUAGCCUGGGGGAGAUGCAGGUUGUCCAGGCAGUGAAAUGGGACACUCUGGGCUCAGGUACACACAAAGGUGCUAGAAUCCUGGGUCUCCAGCUCUUCUGUGCCCAUUUCACAGUUCAAACACGCAGCUCACUCUCAGGCAAAGACAGAUAAAGUUCUGACCCCCAGCACGAACGGACACCUAUACUUUCUCCCCUAAUUAGUGGUAGAUAGGGAUGCUGAGCAGAGGAAAGGCCCGACGUGGCUGGUAACAUUGCCAAAACUUUAAGGAGGAUGGAUGGUCUUUCUCCUCCUUAAUGCCUCCCUCAACUCCCCAGAUUCAGAAGUGAACUCUGCAAGGAUAUGUGUGUGGCAAAAAGAGAGAAAUGGAGCUUUCGUGCAAUUCCAAGGUGUCAGCGGCCGGUCCUUCUCAAAGGAAGGUGUUAAAAAUAUAAGUAGUAUGUUUAAACUGUCAGGGAGCCAAAGUGUCACCUUAGAGCAAAAACAAAGCCAAGGGAAAAGGGAGAAGUCAAAAAGCACUCCGGGCCAGGGUGGCCUCAUGCAUACCAAUGGUUUUUGUCAUUUAUGGCUGGGCAAGAUUUAUGACUCGGCGCCCCAAAGCUGUAAACAGAGCACAAAACAGCAAACACUUGCUCCUUAUGGCAUAUUGCUCCAGCGCGACUUGAAAGGGGUAGCAAGGCAGCGUAGGAGGCGCGAGCCGGCCGCAAAAAUCCGCUGGGCGGCAUUUUCUCUUCAAACCGGCCGGGUUGGAUGUGGCAUUUGAAGAAAGAAGGCGUGGGUCAAUAAUCAACCCGCACUUUCUCCUCCAAACUGCUGACGCGACUCGCCGCUUUCUCAGCUAAGCCAGCUGCCGGGAAGGCCAGCUCUUCGUGAGAACCUGCCGGGGGAGGGGAUGGCCCAGGGCGCCGAGGUGAGGGAUGGGGCACCCCGGGCGCGUACCUUUCCGCCGGCCCCAGGGCUGUGACGGCAAAACGCGGGGACUGGACCCGCCGAGCCGCGGGAGCCCUGGGAAAGCCGGGGCGGGAGCUCGGGCCGGGCCUCCACCCGCCCCCGACUAGGUGGCCUCUGGGCGGCGGGCUGCGGCGGGCAGAAGUAGGGCUUGGACCUCAAGACUAGGGUCUGGCGGCCUGGCACGCAGACUGCCCGGGUCCAGGCCUCUCUGCUGACAUCCAACGGACUGGCUUUUGGAGCUAGGCAGGCGAGGUGAUUAAAAAUAAUAAUGUAUAAUAGC